CCGGAAAAUAUGUGUUUUGAACUAAGACUCGUCUCAUACUUAUGUUCCAUUCAUAGUAUGUUCUCCGAAAGAAAUGAAUACCAACUGACAUAUUCACAAUUUUCUUUUCCUUAUUCCUUGACGAAUAAAAUUGAACAUUUCACGUGGACGGUUUCAAGGUUUUCAAAAGUCCUCCCUGUAUAUAUUCAAACUGAACUUAAAG
rnacentral:lncRNA from 1 species